UCGACGGUCCGUAACCCCCCCUGGGGUUAUC
rnacentral:sRNA from 1 species